GUCGGCGAGAGGGACGGCGGUUACGCCCACUGAGUGGCAGCAUUUGAGUACAGCGUGACAUCGACGAAAACACGGUGAAAAUGCGUCGAAAUGGGAAAAGGCUGUUGUGCGAUAGACUGUACUAACAGAUUAACAAGAAUUCGGAGCUAUCGUUUUACAGACUGCCAAAAAACACCAAAAGGAGAUGUAAAUUGAUCGUUUAUUCUAACGUUUACAGACCACAUGUGGGUUGACAAGUUGCUGGGGUCACUAUCAGUUUACUUUUUACUUAAAAGUAUUUUUUCCAAGUAUUUGUAUUUUAUCCGUGUUUUUCUAUGCAAAACACACAUUCCAAAGCAUAUUAUCAUAAUUUUUACUCUAUUACAUUUCAUAAAUAAUACGUUUUUGUAUUACAUUUAAUAUUUAGGUACAUAACGUACUUUUACUCUCGUAAAAGUACACAAUAUAAAUAUAUUUAGGUAUAAAAUAAAUUAUAAUAUGCAAUAUUAAAGAAUACAGAGUAUGAUUUUAUGCUUUAGAAUGUAGUGAAGUAAUGUUUUUUCCUAAUACAAACACCCUAAUAAAGCACAGAUGCUUGGAAAAUGUAACUAAUGUAACUAAGUAUUGUCCACCUCUGCUAUCAAGUCCAAAUAAAUUCAAUUUAAGCAGAUAAUAAUCCGUUUUAUUGGCAUUUUCGCAGAACCCGCUAUGAAAAACAGCCAUUUUGUUAAACGUUUUGCCACUCAACUGGGCGAGCUCUCGCGGAAAAGUGACGUCAAUGCAUACCCUCUAUCACAGCGUAGAAGCUCAUUGCUGAGGUACAUAACAUAAAAUUACCUCAGGUAGCGCUGAUGCAGUUGCUGUGAAAUUCACUACGUAAUGCUUUUUUCCAUCCCACACUGACUUAGUUACGCCAAAAGCGCCACGUCUUUACCACAUCUCCAACUCCAAGAUCUAUACGGAUCAGGCGGUUGUUAGCGAUGCCCAAGACUUCAUCCUUACGGCUGCCUUUAAACCUGAGGAAAGAUGGGAAUGGAAAGCUAGAUCAUCUAACCAACUUUUAAAGCAGAAGUGGCAGCUGGGGAAUUGGAUCGCUGCAUAGAGAGAAACGUCUGGAUGUUCUUCACUUCACUUUGAUACGAGCUGUCCAACAGGGUGAGACCUUUAGAGGCCAGUUUACAAGCUGCCAUCCACUGAGAAUAUUGCUUCUCCUGAUGGGUGGGGAGAGCAUGUCUGUGCCGUUAUCCUCUCCCACCAUCUUAACCUCCAGAGAUUUCAGGGCAGAUUCCAGGUCAUCCAUGCCCUGACUGGAAGAGACCAUGUCCUGGGACAAGGAUAGUUUUCCUAUGUGGUACUGAAUGAAGGGCGAAGCAAGGAGAGCUCCUCUGGGUGCCGAAUAUCUGAAGGCGAUAAACAUCACGAGAGAACAAUAAAUAAAUUACUAUUAGUAAAAUGGUGGGUAAGUUAAAUCCAAGCUACAUCUGUGCAUAGUAGGAUUAACUUACUAAG